CGGAGGAUCCGAGCGUUAUCCGGAUUUAUUGGGUUUAAAGGGUGCGCAGGCGGAAGAUUAAGUCGGUGGUGAAAUUCUGCAGCUCAACUGUAAAAGUGCCAUUGAUACUGGUUUUCUUGAGUGUGGAUGAAGUAGGCGGAAUUUGUGGUGUAGCGGUGAAAUACAUAGAUAUCACGAGGAACUCCGAUUGCGCAGGCAGCUUACUAAACUACUACUGACGCUCAGGCACGAAGGCGUGGGGAUCAAACAGGAUUAGAUA
rnacentral:rRNA from 1 species